GGCUGGUGUUUUGGAGGAGAGGGGAAGAUGUCCCAAAAUGUACACUGUACAAUUUACAUUUUUGUUAUAACUGAGGUACUUACAGCCUUCUCAAUCCCGUCAGGUGUAAUUACUCAAGUAAGAAUUCAAGGUGAUUCAAUUCAAAAUUGAAUUUAAAAAAAAGCAUUUCAAAUUAAAGGUCAGAACAGCAAAAACUUGAAAAAGUCUCUAACUAAAUUAUGCUUUCAAUUCGGC